rnacentral:rRNA from 1 species
GACGAACGCUGGCGGCGUGCUUAACACAUGCAAGUCGAACGGAAAGGCCCUGCUUUUGUGGGGUGCUCGAGUGGCGAACGGGUGAGUAACACGUGAGUAACCUGCCCUUGACUUUGGGAUAACUUCAGGAAACUGGGGCUAAUACCGGAUAGGAGCUCCUGCUGCAUGGUGGGGGUUGGAAAGUUUCGGCGGUUGGGGAUGGACUCGCGGCUUAUCAGCUUGUUGGUGGGGUAGUGGCUUACCAAGGCUUUGACGGGUAGCCGGCCUGAGAGGGUGACCGGCCAAAUUGGGAAGGAGAUACGGCCCAGAAUCCUACGGGAGGCAGGAGGGGGGAAUAGUGCAAAAGGGGCGGAAGCCUGAAGCAGCAACGCCGCGGGGGGGAUGAAGGCCUUCGGGUUGGAAACCGCUUUCGCCUGGGAAGAAGCGUGGGGGAAGGUAAUGGGUAAAGAAGCAACGGCCAAAUAAGGG